ensembl:miRNA
GCUUGUCGCUGCGGUGUUGCUGUUGGAGACUUGAUUGUUGGUGACAGCGAAACAACGAUAACAAAAUGCCAGAGCGAGAUAGU